AUUGAACGCUGGCGGCAGGCCUAACACAUGCAAGUCGAGCGAGCGGCGGACGGGUGAGUAAUGUCUGGGAAACUGCCUGAUGGAGGGGGAUAACUACUGGAAACGGUAGCUAAUACCGCAUACCAUCAGAUGUGCCCAGAUGGGAUUAGCUAGUAGGUGGGGUAACGGCUCACCUGGGCGACGAUCCCUAGCGGGUCUGCGAGGAUGACCAGCCACAUGGGAAUGGAGACACGGUCCUGACUCAUACGGUAGGCAGCAGUGGGUAAUAUUGCACAAGGGGCGCAAGCCUGAUGCAGCCAUGCGGCGUGUGUGAAGAAGGACUGCGGGUUGUAAAGCACUUUCAGCGGGGAGGCGUUACCCGCAGAAGAAGCACCGGCUAACUCCGUGCCAGCAGCCGCGGUAAUAC
rnacentral:rRNA from 1 species